AGAGCUGUGCCGCUGCAUGGUGCUGCAGGCCCAAAUGUGCCCCGAGGAGACAAUCGUCUUCCUGUACUUCAMAYUGAGGAACGGGAGCAAGGCCGAUCGUGUGGCAGCCGUGGCAGUGCUGCAGGCUCUGGUCAGCUCUGAUGUGCCUGAGGUGCGGGAGAAGCUGGCCGUGUUUGCAAAAGUGGCCGAGUCCGUGUGCCAUGACC